GUGAACGCUGGCGGUAGGCCUAACCCAUGCAAGUCGAACGGCAGCACAGUAAGAGCUUGCUCUUACGGGUGGCGAGUGGCGGACGGGUGAGGAAUACAUCGGAAUCUACUUUUUCGUGGGGGAUAACGUAGGGAAACUUACGCUAAUACCGCAUACGACCUACGGGUGAAAGCAGGGGAUCUUCGGACCUUGCGCGAUUGAAUGAGCCGAUGUCGGAUUAGCUAGUUGGCGGGGUAAAGGCCCACCAAGGCGACGAUCCGUAGCUGGUCUGAGAGGAUGAUCAGCCACACUGGAACUGAGACACGGUCCAGACUCCUACGGGAGGCAGCAGUGGGGAAUAUUGGACAAUGGGCGCAAGCCUGAUCCAGCCAUACCGCGUGGGUGAAGAGGGCCUUCGGGUUGUAAAGCCCUUUUGUUGGGAAAGAAAAGCAGCAGGUUAAUACCCCGCUGUUCUGACGGUACCCAAAGAAUAAGCACCGGCUAACUUCGUG
rnacentral:rRNA from 1 species